rnacentral:rRNA from 1 species
CAGUGCCGCGGGAAUACGUAGGGUGCGAGCGUUAAUCGGAAUUACUGGGCGUAAAGCGUGCGCAGGCGGUUAUAUAAGACAGAUGUGAAAUCCCCGGGCUCAACCUGGGACCUGCAUUUGUGACUGUAUAGCUAGAGUACGGUAGAGGGGGAUGGAAUUCCGCGUGUAGCAGUGAAAUGCGUAGAUAUGCGGAGGAACACCGAUGGCGAAGGCAAUCCCCUGGACCUGUACUGACGCUCAUGCACGAAAGCGUGGGGAGCAAACAGGAUUAGAUACCCCUGUAGUCCCUGUCUCUUAUACA